rnacentral:lncRNA from 1 species
CUGUUUACCAAAACAUCUUUCCAUUACCUGAAGAACUUUUGCAGGUUGAUUUCAUAAAAUCAAUAGUUAUUAUAAAUUAAUACUUCACAUACUAGUUGAGAACAUUUUAGGUAAAUGACAGCAUCUAGAAAGAUCUUUGUAUUAGUGGAAUUGCUUUUUUGAUCUAAGAAUAUUUGUCUUACAUGAAAGCCUUAUUGGCAGUAUUUAUUAAAGUCGUUUCACUAGUUUCAAAUUGGGUCAAAUACCCAAUUUGGGAAAGAGAGGAGUUUGAAUUUGUUUCCAGAAUAAAUUAAUCUACUAAUAAAUUUUUUAAAAACCAAGUUAUAUAAAAUCCAAAGCAUGAUACUUUAUGGUACAUGUCACCCAAGUGUUUAUAUGCUGGCUGGUAAUUUGGGAAAUUGAAGGGGAGGAGCUCACUGGGUGAUCUUAACACCAUAAAUCCACAAAAGCCAC